GACGAACGCUGGCGGCGUGCUUAACACAUGCCAGUCGAACGGAAAGGCCCUGCUUGCAGGGUACUCGAGUGGCGAACGGGUGAGUAACACGUGGGUGAUCUGCCCUGCACUUCGGGAUAAGCUUGGGAAACUGGGUCUAAUACCGGAUAGGAGCCAUCUUUAGUGUGGUGGUUGGAAAGUUUUUUCGGUGUAGGAUGAGCUCGCGGCCUAUCAGCUUGUUGGUGGGGUAAUGGCCUACCAAGGCGGCGACGGGUAGCCGGCCUGAGAGGGUGUACGGCCACAUUGGGACCGAGAUACGGCCCAGACUCCUACGGGAGGCAGCAGUGGGGAAUAUUGCACAAUGGGCGCAAGCCUGAUGCAGCGACGCCGCGUGGGGGAUGAAGGCCUUCGGGUUGUAAACUCCUUUCGCUAGGGACGAAGCUUUUUUGUGACGGUACCUAGAUAAGAAGCACCGGCUAACUACGUG
rnacentral:rRNA from 1 species